UGGAUGCUUGUUACUGACAGGAGC
rnacentral:piRNA from 1 species